rnacentral:rRNA from 1 species
CUACGGGACGCUGCAGUAGGGAAUAUUGGUCAAUGGACGCAAGUCUGAACCAGCCAUGCCGCGUGAAGGAUGAAGGCCCUAUGGGUCGUAAACUUCUUUUAUUAGGGAAGAAAAAAUGGGAUGCGUCCUAUACUGACGGUACUUAAUGAAUAAGGAUCGGCUAACUUCGUGCCAGCAGCCGCGGUAAGACGAAGGAUCCAAGCGUUGUCCGGAUUUACUGGGUUUAAAGGGUGCGUAGGCGGAAAAUUAAGUCAGUGGUGAAAGCCCGCAGCUCAACUGUGGAACUGCCAUUGAAACUGGUUUUCUUGAAUAUAGCUGAGGCAGAUGGAAUAUAACAUGUAGCGGUGAAAUGCUUAGAUAUGUUAUAGAACACCGAUUGCGAAGGCAGUCUGCUAAACUAUUAUUGACGCUGAGGCACGAAAGCGUGGGGAGCGAACAGGAUUAGAUACCCUAGUAGUC